rnacentral:rRNA from 1 species
AGAAUCAACGCUGGCGGCGUGCCUAACACAUGCAAGUCGAACGAGAAAGUGGAGCAAUCCAUGAGUAAAGUGGCGCACGGGUGAGUAACACGUGACUAACCUGCCCUUGAGUGGGGGAUAACCUAGAGAAAUCUGGGCUAAUACCGCAUAAUACCUUCGGGUCAAAGGAGCAAUUCGCUUAAGGAGGGGGUCGCGGCCGAUUAGUUAGUUGGCGGGGUAAUGGCCCACCAAGACUGUGAUCGGUA